AUUGAACGCUGGCGGCAGGCCUAACACAUGCAAGUCGAGCGAGCGGCGGACGGGUGAGUAAUGUCUGGGAAACUGCCUGAUGGAGGGGGCUAACUACUGGAAACGGUAGCUAAUACCGCAUACCAUCAGAUGUGCCCAUAUGGGAUUAGCUAGUAUGUGGGGUAACGGCUCACCGAGGCGACGAUCACUAGCUGGUCUGAGAGGAUGACCAGCAACACUGGAACUGAGACACGGUCCAGACUCCGACGGGAGGCAGCAGUGGAGAAUAUUGCACAAUGGGCGCAAGCCUGAUGCAGCCAUGCCGCGUGUGUGAAGAAGGCCUUCGGGUUGUAAAGCACAGUCAGCUGGGAGGCGUUACCCGCAGAAGAAGCACCGGCUAAGUCCGUGCCAGCAGCCGCGGUAAUUC
rnacentral:rRNA from 1 species